CAAAUCCGCUUUGAUAAUGCUGGGAUGUGAUGGGGAGCGAAAUUUAGUAGCGAAGUAGCUGAUUUCACACUGUCAAGAAAAGUCUCUAUCGAGGUUAAAGGUACCCGUACCGCAAACCGACACAGGUGGGUGAGGAGAGUAUCCUAAGGCCAGCGAGAGAACUGUUGUUAAGGAACUCGGCAAAAUGACCCCGUAACUUAGGGAUAAGGGGUGCCACCAUCAGGUGGCCGCAGAGAAUAGGCCCAAGCGACUGUUUACCAAAAACAUAGGUUUCUGCUAAGUCGCAAGACGAUGUAUAGGAGCUGACGCCUGCCCGGUGCUGGAAGGUUAAGGGGAUCUGUUAGAGCAAUCGAAGCAGUGAACUUAAGCCCCAGUAAACGGCGGCCGUAACUAUAACGGUCCUAAGGUAGCGAAAUUCCUUGUCGGGUAAGUUCCGACCCGCACGAAAGGCGUAACGAUUUGGGCACUGUCUCAACAACAGACUCGGUGAAAUUGUAAUUCCGGUGAAGAUGCCGGAUACCUGCGACAGGACGGAAAGACCCCAUGGAGCUUUACUGUAGCUUGACAUUGGGUCUUGGUACUACAUGUACAGGAUAGGUGGGAGGCUUUGAAACCAGGACGCCAGUUUUGGCGGAGCCAUCCUUGGGAUACCACCCUUGUAGUACUGGGACUCUAACCAUAGGCCAUGAAUCUGGUCUUGGGACACUGUCAGGUGGGCAGUUUGACUGGGGCGGUCGCCUCCCAAAAGGUAACGGAGGCGCUCAAAGGUUCUCUCAGUACGGUCGGAAAUCGUACGUAGAGUGUAAAGGCAAAAGAGAGCUUGAUUGCAAGACAUACAGGUCGAGCAAGGAUGAAAAUCGGACUUAGUGAUCCGGUGGUUCUGCGUGGAAGGGCCAUCGCUCAACGGAUAAAAGCUACCCUGGGGAUAACAGGCUUAUCUCCCCCAAGAGUCCACAUCGACGGGGAGGUUUGGCACCUCGAUGUCGGCUCAUCACAUCCUGGGGCUGUAGUAGGUCCCAAGGGUUGGGCUGUUCGCCCAUUAAAGUGGUACGCGAGCUGGGUUCAGAACGUCGUGAGACAGUUCGGUCCCUAUCCGUCGCAGGCGUAGGAAAUUUGAGAAGACCUGUCCUUAGUACGAGAGGACCGGGAUGGACG
rnacentral:rRNA from 1 species